ensembl:lncRNA
GUACUGCUCCUCUCUUUGCGUGUGUGUGUGUGUGUGUGUGUGCGUGCGUGCGCGCGCGCGGUUCUCACUCUCAGCACCAUGUCAAGCGUUAGUUUAUCUCCUUUCGUCUAGCGGACUUAUUCAGAUAAGGAAGUCUAAGCACCGCGACGGUAAAUAACGGGCCUAGUUGGCAGAAGGAGGUUAUGAAUCCUGCAAACUGCUUCUGGACCUUAUGUACUUAAAGCAGAACAUCCAACAACCUGAUUUGCUCAAAGGAAACUAUUUUCAUUUCAUAAAUGAAAGGCCGCUUUCAUCACUAUAACAAAUCCUUUAAGCACAGACUCUGCUGCAGUUUUGAACUGGUUUUCCUGAAAGCUCUCCGAUGCCAGCCAAGACAAGUGUCCUGACUAUUGCCUGACAAAGCCAAGUUAAAGGGAACUAGGGAAACACCACAAUUCACC